UGAGUUUUAAAGUCAACUCUCUCAAUCGACUGCUUCUAAUUGUCUUCUCAUUUCUGUCCACAGGCCUGCAUCUGGAACUGAGGGAACAGAGUCCAAAAUGGCCACCUUGCAGUCCUCUCAUGGCUUCAUGGGACACUUGCAGGUCUACUCUUGCUCAAUUUGCUUGUUAGGCUGAAAAUGUAAAAGCAGAAUGGUUGUAACGUUACCGUGUCUUUCAGACCAGCGAGCUGUGGUUGGAGAGACGUCCGGUGCUGCCCUCCAUUCGUCACUGGU